rnacentral:lncRNA from 1 species
GCCAGAAGAGGGAGGCUGGGCACAGCAGCCAGCUCAAGCAUCCUGUUCAGUAUACAUCACCCUUUGAUUUCAUCCACUCACAGCCUUCCUACCUCAAACUCGAGCUGAGCUUUUGCUCACCGUCCACCACUGCUGUUGGCCGCCAUCGCACACCUGCCACUGACUUCCACCCCUCUGGAUCCGGCUGGGUGUCUGCUGCACUCCUGAUCCAGCGAGGCGCCCAC